CUACGCACUACCUACGGGAGGCAGCAGUGGGGAAUAUGCACAAUGGGGGAAACCCUGAUGCAGCCAUGCCGCGUGUGUGAAGAAGGGUUUCGGCUCGUAAAGCUCUGUUGUUAAAGAAGAACACGUAUGAGAGUAACUGUUCAUACGUUGACGGUAUUUAACCAGAAAGUCACGGCUAACUACGUGCCAGCAGCCGCGGUAAUACGUAGGUGGCAAGCGUUAUCCGGAUUUAUUGGGCGUAAAGAGAGUGCAGGCGGUUUUCUAAGUCUGAUGUGAAAGCCUUCGGCUUAACCGGAGAAGUGCAUCGGAAACUGGAUAACUUGAGUGCAGAAGAGGGUAGUGGAACUCCAUGUGUAGCGGUGGAAUGCGUAGAUAUAUGGAAGAACACCAGUGGCGAAGGCGGCUACCUGGUCUGCAACUGACGCUGAGACUCGAAAGCAUGGGUAGCGAACAGGAUUAGAUACCCUGGUAG
rnacentral:rRNA from 1 species